UUAAGGGUACAGCGAGGGCGUCCACAGCAUCACCGUGCCCCCGCCGUCCCGUGUGCGUCUUCCUCCACGCAUCACACAUGCCACACGCGCGCCAGCAAUCGCCCCCGGUAUCUCGCCCGCGCCCCACCAACUCUGCCCUUGAACCCGCCUGCCACCAAUCUCGUCGCCGGGUAUCCCGCCCGCCACCAAACCGCGCCCCCUGUCCUCGCCCUCGACGGCGCUGCCCUUUGUGAUGGUGCCCUUCCUUCCCCAGCUCCCCCAAAUGCUGCCAAGUCCCCCACCAACGCCGCCCUUCCUUCCCCGGCAGCCCGCCCCCACUAGCUCCGCGCUCCGCGUGCCCCACCAGCCACGCUAGCUGCCGCCGGGAUACUCACCACCUCCGCGCCCCCACCAAACCGAAAGGCGAGAUCCGCCGCCAGUUCCACGCUCCGCGCGUCAAGAGCAGCCAUCACAGUGAUGCCGCGCGAGGGAGAGGAAGGAAGGCCGCGUGAGUCGCCGCAGGGAAAGCUGCCAGGCAUCACCGUAAGGUGAGAUCCGGUUGCGCGUGAGGGAGAGGAAGGAAGGCCGCGUGAGUCGCCGCCGAGAAAGCCACAGGGAAAGCCGCCAGUGUGAGUCGCCGCCGGGAAAGCCGCCAGUGUAUGAUGGUUCGGUCAUCCAGAUGUGGGUGGCGUACAACGUUGUCACUCAUUUCCUCCUGCACUGUACCGACUGCAAGGCGCAAGCUCACUGGCGUGUUCGACCUCCUGAAGAUUAUGCUAUACAAGGUGUGCGCAAAUGGCUCAUCGGCGCUUCCCGAUUGGGAGAUGGAGGCCAGCAUCAUGGAGUUCUACGCUGUUGCAUCUUCUAAGUGGCAUCACCGAGCUGGACGACAGGAAACAGAGAAAAUUGUGCCUGAAAAAAUUUAGGAGCAGGGAUGAGCAUUUAUCAGAAGUGGACA
rnacentral:misc_RNA from 1 species